rnacentral:rRNA from 1 species
GACGAAGGAGGCUAGCGUUGUUCGGAAUUACUGGGCGUAAAGCGAGUGUAGGUGGUUGUCCAAGUUGGAUGUGAAAGCCUUGAGCUCAACUCAAGAAAUGCAUUCAGGACCGGAUGACUAGAGGACCGGAGAGGAUAGUGGAAUUCCCAGUGUAGUGGUGAAAUACGUAGAGAUUGGGAAGAACACCAGUGGCGAAGGCGGCUAUCUGGACGGUUUCUGACACUAAGACUCGAAAGCGUGGGGAGCAAACAGG